rnacentral:misc_RNA from 1 species
UGGACGCCGACGCCAAUCCUCCGAAGCUGUCCACUACCACGAUCUCCGCCACUGACGACAUCGCCGCCUCCAUACAAAACCUCGGCAUCGCCGCCCCCUCCUCCUCCUCCCCCUUCAAGCGCAAGCCCGUCAUCAUCAUCGUCGUCGGCAUGGCCGGCAGCGGCAAAACUACCUUCCUCCAGCGCCUCGUCUGCCACACCCAGUCCUCCAACAUCCGCGGCUACGUCCUCAACCUCGACCCCGCCGUCAUGACCCUCCCAUACGGCGCUAACAUCGACAUCCGCGACACCGUCCGCUACAAGGAAGUCAUGAAGGAGUAUAACCUCGG